AGUGAACGCUGGCGGUAGGCCUAACACAUGCAAGUCGAACGGCAGCACAGUAAGAGCUUGCUCUUACGGGUGGCGAGUGGCGGACGGGUGAGGAAUACAUAGGAAUCUACUUUGUCGUGGAGGAUAACGUAGGGAAACUUACGCUACUACCGCAUACGACCUACGGGUGAGAGCAAUGGUGAUUCGGACCUUGCGCGAUUGAUUGAGACGAUGCCGGAUUAGCUAGUUGGCAGGGUAAAGGCUCACCAAGGCAACGCAGCGUAGCGGACCUGAGAGGAUGAUCGGCCACACUGGAACUGAGACACGGUCCAGACUCCUACGGGAGGCAGCAGUAGGGAAUCUUGCGCAAUGGGCGCAAGCCUGACCGAGCCACGCCGCGUGAGUGAUGAAGGCCUUCGGUUCGUAAACCUCUGUUAUUAGGAAAGAAAAAAUGUGUAAGAAACCCUGCCCGUCUUGACGGUACCUAAUCAGAAAGCCACGGCUAACUUCGUG
rnacentral:rRNA from 1 species